UUGCUUCAACAGCACAUAUACUAAAAUUGGAACCACACAGAGAUGAUUAGCAUGGUCCCUCUGCGUGGAUUACGUACACAUUCGUGAAGCAUUCCAGCAUUCC
ensembl:snRNA U6 U6 spliceosomal RNA